UUUAGAGUUUUGAUUCCUGGCUCAGAUUGAACGCUGGCGGCAGGCCUAACACAUGCAAGUCGAGCGGUAGAAAGUAGCUUGCUACUUUUGAGAGCGGCGGACGGGUGAGUAACGCGUGGGAAUCUACCUGGUAGUGGGGGACAACUUGGGGAAACUCAAGCUAAUACCGCAUACGCCCUACGGGGGAAAGGAGGGGCUCUUCGGACCUUUCGCUAUCAGAUGAGCCUGCGUAGGAUUAGCUAGUUGGUAGGGUAAAGGCCUACCAAGGCGACGAUCGUUAGCUGGUCUGAGAGGAUGAUCAGCCACACUGGGACUGAGACACGGCCCAGACUCCUACGGGGGGCAGCAGUGGGGAAUAUUGGACAAUGGGGGCAACCCUGAUCCAGCCAUGCCGCGUGUGUGAAGAAGGCCUUCGGGUUGUAAAGCACUUUCAGUGGUGAGGAAGGGUGAGCAGUUAAUACCUGUUCACAUAGACGUAGCCACAGAAGAGC
rnacentral:rRNA from 1 species